AUGAGUCAGAGUGUUUGGUGCUGAUGUUGCUGCCAUUUCAUCAGCUCUGUGAUCCCCAGCAUCCCCUAUUCACCAGCUCUCCAUCUUUACAACCCUGGGCAUCUCUGCGACUGAAGCCCACACUGGAGGAAGGGCUGCGAUUCUUCUGUCUGCAGAUGAAACCUCUUCUCUGGAGCUAGCCGGAUGCCCUUGAGGACUAUCCCCUUUGUAAUCCCUGCUUGGAGGCACAGAAUAAUAGAGCCUAGGAAGCCUUCUAGCAUCGGGCUGUUUUUCUGUUUUAAUCAAGCUCGGACUUCCUGAGCCUGGAGGCUUUGAUCUUCCUGUAUGCAGGGUGGAUUCUGUUUUGGUGAGGGGUACCGGAGAGGGGGAUUCAGAACCUUUUCUUGGAGUCCUUCCUUGCUGACCUGGAUUUAGGCUGCUGAGUUAUAGCUCUAGAUAUUUGUGUUAACACAGCGGGGGGGAAAAGGUUGGAGCCCUUGAAUGAGAGCUGGAAAUUCAUUCCAACCCCCUUUCUGCUGUUGUAACCAGGCCAGCCAUUGCCAAGUUCUUUUCAAUGCAUUACAAAAGCAUUUCUCUGCCAUUGCAACAGGAAACACGGAUCAGUAGCAAGAUGCAUGUCGGAUCCUGAUUAAAAAAGCAAAACAACAAGCUGGCGAAGAGGGAGAUCUAGGCUGGUCUGGGGCAAAAUGGAGACCAUCUGACCUUUGCAUUUCCAGCAGAGCCAUUUCGCGUGUGUGUUGCAGAACUGGAGGCAGAGGCGGGGGUGCAAUCCUGCCACCCGCAUCUCCUGCAAGAAGAUUUCCCAGCAGCCAGAAACCAUGACUGGACAGGGGAACAGAGCUCCCACGCAUUCUGAAGGCUUCCCUGAUAGCCACCUGCCACGCAGACCUGCCCUUGUAGCGCGUCUAUUUCUCUCCUAAAGCAGAGAGCCAGCACCUAGCAGCAGCGGGGAGGCUGAGACGCCCUCUGGUGGGCAGUGCGGGCCACGCAGCGCGCCCUCUGGUGGGCAGCGUCCCUACAGCGCCCUCUGCUGGGUGCCUGCAGGACUGUGAGCAGAAGCGCCGGGCACCUGCCGGCCGCAGAGCCUCCCUCGCACCCGCGCGCGGCUCGGCAUGGGCUGUGCGGAGCGUGCCCGGCCCUAGGCGCUGUGCAGCGGCUGCAUUGCCCCGGGCGCAGCGCUCCGCGAGGCCAGAGCUGCGCGAGCCGCUGCGCGGGGGGGGCGGAGGGGAAGCAUGGAAGCGAUUUGGCUCUACCAGUUCCGCCUGAUCGUGAUCGGAGACUCCACCGUGGGCAAAUCCUGCCUGAUCCGCCGCUUCACCGAGGGGCGCUUCGCCCAGGUCUCGGACCCCACGGUGGGCGUGGAUUUCUUCUCCCGGCUGGUGGAGAUUGAGCCGGGGAAGCGGAUCAAGCUGCAGAUCUGGGACACGGCCGGGCAGGAGCGGUUCAGAUCCAUCACCAGAGCCUACUACAGAAACUCAGUAGGCGGGCUCCUCUUAUUUGACAUUACAAACCGCAGGUCCUUCCAGAACGUCCAUGAGUGGCUAGAAGAGACAAAGGUGCACGUCCAGCCCUACCAGAUUGUCUUCGUUUUGGUAGGUCACAAAUGUGACCUUGACACACAGCGGCAAGUCACUAGACACGAGGCUGAGAAACUGGCUGCUGCAUAUGGCAUGAAGUACAUUGAGACAUCUGCUCGGGAUGCCAUUAACGUAGAGAAGGCCUUCACUGACCUGACUCGAGAUAUAUACGAGCUUGUUAAAAGGGGGGACAUUUCGAUCCAGGAGGGCUGGGAAGGGGUAAAGAGUGGGUUUGUACCGAACGUAGUGCACUCUUCAGAAGAGGUGGUGAAAUCAGAUAGGAGAUGCUUGUGCUAAUCACGUCUAGUGAGAAAAGCUAUGAUGAACUCUACUAAUCAAACAUACUCUAUUAAGUGAACUCAGUGUGAUGGAAAAGGGAUUGUAACACUAGCAUGGUGAAUGGCCUCACACGUUGUUUUGGACACUAGAGGAACAGAACCAGGAAAGAAAUGGAGACAGGAGGCAUAAGAACAAGAGGGGAUCUGAAUGAGAUGGAACAGAAGAGGGAAUUUUACAUGUACUGGUUUUGUAUGCCACGUGUUGAAGCCACAGUCUGAACAGUCUAUUAAUACAACACACCCGAGAGGAGAGAGAAAAAUCUUGGUUUGCAUCAACAAUUUAUUUCCAGGAAGAUUAGAAUAUAGUGCGAAUGUUAAUUCCACAGUUAACUCAAAAGAAACAUUUUACAGAUGUGGCACACACACUUUUGGGGCUUAAUGGUCUUGUACCUCAUUAAAACAUAGACUAAGACUAUAAUAUGGUCCUUUAAAAGGAAAAUAGGGGUUAUUUUACUGAUAAUUAAAACUUAAGCAUUUCCAUCCCCCUGGAGAGGGGUGUUUUCCUUGCCCUGCCUAGCUGAGACUAAGGGCCAAGUCCAGCAUGACAGCUCCAAUUAUAAUCAUCGGAUGAAUUUAUAAACACUGUUCUCUCUCUACAUGACUGUAGUAGAAGUACCUCGACUAUAUGGAUUGCCAAUAUCAUUAACAGAUCAAGAGUAUAAAGCUUCCUAAGUGUAUCCUCACAUCCAGUAUCUCACAGAUGGGUCAUGACAACCAAUGAUGAGCAGUCAGUUGGGAAAGGCGGAUAUUUCUGUCUUACUGUCAGAAACAGAAUGACGUUGGCAGCAUUUCACUGUAAACGUACAUUGCUCCUUAGGGAAAAAGGAAAGAACUAAAGAAGAUUUAAAUCAAGAGCAUCACACAUCCCUGGAGCUGGUUCCGGUACUGAAAGCAGGGGCUAGGGGCAGCAUUCUCUGCUCUUACUGGGUUGCUUUCUGUACUGGCGUCUGGGGAAGGAGAGACAUAGGAAGUGGAAGGAGGGGUAUAGAGCUAAAGUGUCUGAGAGGGUGAAAAGGGAAGAUGAGAGAAGCAUAGGAGAAAAUCUCUUCUCUUUGUUUUAUUUAUAUUCUACCCAAGAUGGAGCCUACACCGGGCAGGUAGCUGACUUACAAAGGCUAUAACUAAGUGUCCAUUUUCUGGGAACACCAUCUACCAUUUCAGCUUUGCUUCAUGUAAGUACUGUAUUAACUAAAGCUUUUGGAAUGCAGACGGGUAACAAUGUGCCUGUAUUGUGCCGAGGAGGAUCAACACGUUAGCAGAACAGACAGCGACAUUUAUUCAAGUUUGCAAGCUUUACAAGCCAAACUGUUCAUUUGGUUAUGAGGGAUUAGGCAAACCACAUAGAGAUCCAGCAUUUGAAUACAGGCCUCCAGGUAGACAAGAAUAAAGUACUUCUAAUUGCUCCUCUAAGGUACCAUGUUCCAUAAGAGUAGGAUUUCUGACAAGUUGAAUCUGUCUUGCUUCAGAUCCGUUCUUGUGUUUUGUACCAUUUGAGCCCGACUGUAUCAUAAAAAUAACAAGACCGUUGCUUAGGUAUGAAAGCUGUAAAAAAAAUUUAAAUGAAUAAUAUUUUACCUUUAAAUUUUCUAGUAACAUUUGCAAUCCUUGAGCUCAGCGGGUGAGAGCAAACAUGGUAUGCCACUGUGAAUUCAUAGGCUGCAAAUGUAGAUCCAGAGGAUAUUGAAAUGGGGGUUGGCUGCAGGAAAUGAAACAGCCUUUUACUUCUGAAUACCAAUGGUCAAUCUUGAUUAGGUCACAGCUGUAUUCAGUUUGCUGGCCUAACUCUAAGACUCCCAUUCAACUCUCACUGAAGUCCAUGGAAGCCUUUCCAGUGCUUUCAAGAGAAGGUAGAGAUGGCCCUCUAUCUGCAGCGAGCAUUACAAAACCUCUUUCUUGAAUGGCCCAAUUUGGCAUGAUUGAGAGUCUUGGCUCAGGAGAGACCUACAACAACAUGGGUAUUGCAGGCAAUCCCCCCCUCAGCUUACACCAACGACAGCGAGAACUGAGGGGCAGUGGUGGAGCGUGGUGAGGCACAUGCAGCAUUUACCCAGAGUUGUCAGUCUCUCCCCUUCACAAACAAGAGCAGCCAUAUUUAAAAGGGUCCAGUGUCUUUAUGUACCUUUAUUCACUGAAUGGAAAAUAUGCCAAGCUACCGUUUUAGCCUUUCAAGGCUGAGUCAGCUCUAAAGUUGUCUCUGAUUUUCUACUUUAAACAACAAUCCAUCUUAAAUGUAGAGACUUUGGUUUAAUCAAGUAAUACUCUGUGAACAUAGAUGGAAGUAAAACUUUUGGGGCUGGUUAUGUUUCCUGUAUCACCAAAGUCUCAUGAGCCAGCAUAGCAGGACCUCACUGAUGGGGAAAAUAAUUGAGCUUUUCACUGCAUUUCCGUUUUUUUUUUAAAUGAUACAGAAAAUCUACUUUUCAGUUAGUGGCGUCGGGUUUUUAGUAUUUAAAUAUAAAACUUAGAAAAAUCAUAAAAAAGCUUGUUCAGGCUUUGAGUAAACCUUGAAUUUGUAUUGUAAGUAUAGUUCAAAAAAGGUACAAUAUGAGAAAAAAUCUGUGCUGUCUGAAACUAACUACUUAAAAAUAAUGAAACAAAAGGACAUGGUUAAUAUUGAAUAAAAGACCAUUGUGUACACCUGUUUUCUAAUUCCUUGCAUUUUCUAGGCAGCUUAUAAAAACAAAUAGACAAUGUAAUACAGUCUUGUGUACAAGUCUGGGCUGUUUUUUUCUUUUUCUAAAAUGAAAAACCUUAUAGGCUUUGAUAAACGUUCUUUUCUAACAACUGGUUUUAGUGCUUUGACUACUGCAAAAGGCAUUAGAGAAAUCAGAUGGUGGUAUCAUUCAAAAGAAACAUCCAGGAGGUUUUACCCUACGACAAAGGAAAAAACGUUAUGUGGUACAGGUCACAGAUUAAAAACAAACAAACAAUCUGCAUGUUGGACUGGAAUUUCUCAGAACCUCCAGAAUAAAGUAUACUGUACACUUUUCCUUGCUUUCUGUUAUGCACUGUAAUGAAAUGUGAAAACCCCUCGCUGUAUUUAGCUGUAUGUGAAUGAAACAUGCUUGUAUUUAGCAAAAUUGUUAAUGUGAUUAUGUGAAAUUCAAAUCUUGUAAAGAAAAACUUGUGUUUUUUCCUUC